UUUUAAAAUAAGUAUCAUUUGUUAGUAACACUAAUAGGUGUUAUGUUUUUUUAUUUAAAAAAAAAAGAAAAAACAUUUACGACUUAAAAACUGACUAAUCCCCAAUUUACCAAUCUACGCCUCAAAUCAUUCUGUCUCUCUAUCAACACUCUUCUCCUCCCAUCGUUUUAAUCUCAUCUCUUUCCUCAAUUGAUGUGCACACUCUAAAUCCUCCAUUGAAGCGAAUUCUUAACUUUCUUUCCUCCUUUGAAGCAGCUUCUAAGAUCAAUUUUUAAACAUCAUCUGCUAUCAUUGCGUUGUUCUGCUAUUUUUGUGCACUUUUGUCAUUGUGCGUCCAAGUUCAGGUAUUUUCUGAUUUGUGAUUUCAAGAAUCUAAUAAUUAUUACAAUCUAGAUUAUCGCUAUUUUUUAAUUGGAUUUUGAACGGUUAUUGGCUUUGUGUUUAAAGUAGUGUUAAUUCUUUUUAAAUUUUAUUUUGUGAGUUCUUGAUCGGUAAUUGGAGUUUGGAUUGUUGAUUCUGAAUUUGUGUGUUUUGGUUUUGUAUUUAAUGUUUUCUCAAAAUUAGAUAUUGUAAGUAGGAAAAGGUCUCUAAUUGAAGUGCAGAGUGUGUAGGACUUGGGAAAUUAUAUCAACAUUUGUUUUAAAGGACUAUGAAAAGUUAAAAAAAAAAAAAAGGCUUUGAUGUAUGAGAAAGUGUUAAUAUGCAGGCAGCAGGUUAAUUACAUUAGGAGGCGGAUUCAAUAACAACACGCUUUAUUAGAUCUAACUUAGAUUGAAAAUUGGACAAAGUCUAUUUAAUAGUUUUCAAAUCUUUUGAAUACAUAAUACACAUUUAUCAUACUCCCUCCGUCCUCGAAAGAACGACCCUUUUGGGUUGAUUUUGCGAGUAUUAAGAAAGUUAAAUAAAAAGAAGUAAAAAUAUAUUAGAAACAUAAAUUUAUACGGGGUUUGUAAAAAAAAAUAUAAAGAGAGAGUUAUAUAAUUAUAUGGAAAAACAAAAUUUUAUAUGGAGAAGCUAGUUUUGCACAAAUAUUGAUGCAAAUUGGUAGGUAUUUUUAAUGAAAAUGGGUCGAUCAUUUUGGGAAUAAAUUUAGGCCAAAAGGGUCGAACUUUUGGGGACGGAGGUAGUAACAAAUAGUAUUAUGUCAUAAGUAAAACAAACUCACACUUAUUUUUAUAUCAAAAUUGCAAUCAAUCUUAAGAUGUUGAUUGUUUUAAGUGGAAGAUUUAGUCCUUGAAAUGUAUCUAAAACUAUAUUUUGCAAAACGAAGAAUGAGAAGUUAGGUUAGGAGUUGUUAGUUGAUUAAAUAGGUAACAAAAUGCAUGUAAUAAUUCAGGGUUCUUUCACCAUCUUUUAGUUUAAACUUUUACGAUGCAACAUUGAUAUAUACAUAUUUAACUUUUAUUUUGUGAGUGCCAAUUUUGGAGCCAUUGUUACCCUUGAGAUAAUAGUUAACUUCCUUCUUUGACCUCAUAGUUUUUUAUCUUCACUAACUAAAACCAACUUGCCACUGCAAAAUGCUUCUCUACAUAGCAAUAUGAAUCCAAAUAAUGAUCUAAAAUGUGUUUUUUUUUCCAAUCAUGUGGCCUAAUUUUGACUUGUUCACAAUACUAAUAAAGCUUAUGAGUGAAAAUUAAUGGGAUAGAAGGUUGAUCAUGUGGUAAUUGCUUUUAACUUCCAGUAAUAUAGUGAAGUUAUGAUCAAUGUUCAGUAGAGAUACUUGUAAGAAUUAUUGGUAGUUUUGCUUUCCCUAUUUCUUUUUUAUUGGUGCAUAGAUUUAAUUCUUAGUUUCUUGAAAGAGCUGCUGUUACUGAAGUUUGAUCACGAGGAUGCUUUAUUUUAAUUAGGUCUAUUUUUCAUUUGUCUAAUAUAUUAGAAGUUGGCUAUUUAGCGUUUUUUUUCUUCAGAAUGUCUACAAUUUACUUGAUGCUAUGUAAGAGGGCAAAUCGUUUAUGCGUUUGAACAGUGAAUCCCUUUUUUUGAUGAUUUAAAAAGAACUAAAAAAUACCGCCACAAAAGGUACUUCUGUUUUCUUUCUUUACUUGUUCAUUCCUCGUGCAUUGGUACCUCUCUUAUGUUUGACUAGCAAGCUAAACAUUACUGGUUCAUGAUUGAUAAGUGGUUUAUUUGUCCACUUAUUGUGGUAAUCCUAACCGCUUUUAUAAUCAUUUCUCCUACUUUUCUCCUCUCUCUUAACUCUCUUGUAUAUAGUUGUAUUUUGGCAUUGCUGCUUUUUUUGUGUGUGUUUGUGUUCAUGCUUGUAGGAAUAAGAAGAUUUGACAAGCUUGCAAAGAAAGUUGAGGAAGAUGAUAAAAAGGAGAGGAUGUUGUGAACCUCCCUAGGAGCAGCCACUCCUGCCCCAUGCACCACAAACUGCAUCAUCCACAACAAUAAGAGCGGGCUGCUGCUACUGCUGUUGUUACUGAUGUUUUGCUGCUGCUGUUUACUGCCACUGAUGUCUGUUGCUGACUCCUGCUACUGUUGUUUGCUGCCACUGCUGGUUGCUGCCACCGCUGUCUGCUACUGCUGUUUGUUGCCACUGCUAGUUGCUGCCACCGGUGUCUGCUACUGCUGUUUGGUGCUAUAUACUGCUGCUCGUAGCUUAUGUUGCUACUGCUGUUGUUCUGCUAGCUAUCUGCUGUUCACCGCUAUCACCGACUAAUUUUUGAAAAUUUGAAGUUUUCUUAUUUCCUCACUCUUUCUAUGCUAGAGAUCGAAGUUGAUUUUCUUUUUUUUUGGAUUAUUAUAUUGUUGGGCCAAACAUUAAAAUAUGUGUAUGGAUUUUUUUUUUUUUGUAAGAACUAUGAAAUUAUUUCAAUCCAAAUUGAUGUCUAUCAUAUA